rnacentral:rRNA from 1 species
GACGAACGCUGGCGGCGUGCUUAACACAUGCAAGUCGAACGGUGAAGGGACCGGUUUUUGCUGGUUCUGGAUGAGUGGCGAACGGGUGAGUAACACGUGAGUAACCUGCCCCCUUCUUCUGGAUAACCGCAUGAAAGUGUGGCUAAUACGGGAUAUUCUGCGCCUGCUGCAUGGUGGGUGUGGGAAAGAUAUUGUUUCGGUGGGGGAUGGGCUCGCGGCCUAUCAGCUUGUUGGUGGGGUGAUGGCCUACCAAGGCGGUGACGGGUAGCCGGCCUGAGAGGGUGGACGGUCACACUGGGACUGAGACACGGCCAAGACUCCUACGGGAGGCAGCAGUGGGGAAUAUUGCACAAUGGGCGCAAGCCUGAUGCAGCGACGCCGCGUGAGGGAUGGAGGCCUGCGGGUUGUAAACCUCUUUCGCCAGUGAAGCAGGCCUGUCCCUUUUGUGGGUGGGUUGACGGUAGCUGGAUAAGAAGCGCCGGCUAACUACGUG